rnacentral:rRNA from 1 species
GGGUUGUGAGGUUAAGCGACUAAGCGUACACGGUGGAUGCCCUGGCAGUCAGAGGCGAUGAAGGACGUGCUAAUCUGCGAAAAGCGUCGGUAAGGUGAUAUGAACCGUUACAGCCGGCGAUGUCCGAAUGGGGAAACCCAGUGCAAUUCGUUGCACUAUCGUUUGAUGAAUACAUAGUCAAACGAGGCGAACCGGGGGAACUGAAACAUCUAAGUACCCCGAGGAAAAGAAAUCAACCGAGAUUCCCCCAGUAGCGGCGAGCGAACGGGGAGCAGCCCGGAGUCUGAAUCAGCUUGUGUGUUAGUGGAAGCGUCUGGAAAGUCGCAGGGUACAGGGUGAUACUCCCGUACACUAAAACACACAGGUUGUGAACUCGAAGAGUAGGGCGGGACACGUGGUAUCCUGUCUGAAUAUGGGGGGACCAUCCUCCAAGGCUAAAUACUCCUGACUGACCGAUAGUGAACCAGUACCGUGAGGGAAAGGCGAAAAGAACCCCGGCGAGGGGAGUGAAAAAGAACCUGAAACCGUGUACGUACAAGCAGUAGGAGCCC